UUUCCGUAGGUGAACCUGCGGAAGGAUCAUUAACACGAAACCCACGUUUCAAACCAACCUGCGCUCUGUUCUUUUUAUAAAAGAAUUGUGAUGGGGUUUCUGUAAAAGAAGCUCUGUUGCAAUUUGAUUAUAGAAACUUUUUUAACCCCUUGUAUCAACAAAAACUAAACCUUCAAAAGCUUGAGUGUAAACUCGCUUUAGAUAUUACGAAACUCAGAACAACUCUUAGCAACGGAUAUCUUGGUUCUCGCAUCGAUGAUGAACGCAGC
rnacentral:misc_RNA from 1 species